CUCAUGGUAGCUUUAAAAGAACACCAGUUGUUAGAAUAUGAUGUUUAGUUGGGCAUGUUAAUUUCAAAAUAGCGUACUAUCUGGGAUCUAAAAUAAUCUAGAUUUGUUUUAUUAUGGAGUAGAUAAUCUUUUAAUCUCCAUGUAGCUUUGUUUAUAGUAUUCCACUGGUCUCUCAUAGUCCAGAUAUUAAUACUGUGGUCUGACCAGGUAUUAUACCGGAUUUCAAUCUUCUCUACCAUUUCUAAAGCUAUUGCGUAGCCCCACACCAUGUCAAUACGCGAGUAUGAGUAGUGUACUCUAGAAAAAAAAAGUAUAAUCCUGUCUCUCCGGGUUGGAAGAUCUCCAUAGGUCAAAAAAAAUCUAAUUCAUUCAGUAACUUGUUUAAAGAUUUGGCCAUUUUUACAACAGAACUAUUGGCUUUUAAAUUAUUACUAAACUUCUUAUCCAAGAUUGGAUCCAAAACGCAGUUAAAAUCUCCUGCUAUAAUACACACUCCAGUUUUUAUAGAUUCAACUUGUUCUAGUAUGUCUCUAAGAGUAAUCACUGGGAG